AGAUUCACUACCAUCUAUAUUCACACAAGCAGAGUAUUCUCGAGAAGAAAUUGAUGAGGUGCGAUCGGAGUUGGCAGAAUGUAUACAAGAUCAUAUUUAUGAGUAGGAGAAAUGCUCAAACUACAUGGUAGAGAUGGCAUGGAUAGAAAAUGUGGAUACAGGACAGUCGAGAUCAGUACACUAAAGAGC